AAAAACAACACGGCAAGCUGUGAAAUUUACUUCCUUGAUUGCGUCGCCUAGCAACGCAGACCACGCUUUACGGCAGCACGAAAUACGUCUAUUACUAACGUAAACUCAGACGCAAGCUGAGAUGACCAAAGGAAGAGCCAAGACAAACAGUAGUGAGGCCGUAGAUCCACCCCAGCGUUGGGCACUCAGGUCAAGGAAGAGGGAAUGUCCAAGUGAUAAAGCAUGUCCACCUGAUGAUAUUUACCAUCAGCAGGACACCAAGGAAGAGAGUGCAGCAUGUGUUGGUACACCACCACAAAGCCCUCAGUCCCCCCUGAAGGACUGUGUUAUGAUCUCAGUUCAACAGAAACAGGCAGCAGAGCAUACGUUCAUCACCAACCAAAACACCACAGAAGAAAACGGUGUAAAUGAUUAUGAUUGACACUUAAAACAUGUGACAUGCAAGAAGUGACAACAAUCAUCAAUCCCAGCAGUGAAAUUCAGUUAGAGGGAUGUAUAGUGGACUGUGACAAUGAUGCCAACAAGGAUGAAAAGGAAAAAGAGCAGAAAAAGGGACCAAAUUAUAGUAAGUCCUCAACUAAAACCUGCACUGAGCCAACUCAAUGUUCACUGCAAUGUCUGAGGAGGGCAAUGAAUCCAAACCAUCUACUUUGAAAGAUGAGCUGAGUACAGAAGACAGUUCUGACCACAAGAUGGAGACAAACAAUGAAGAAUCCAUUGGCAUUUGCAUGGAUGAUGCCAAAGAAAAAGAAGCAGCAGAUGGGUUACCAUCCAAAAAGAAACGAAGGAUGGGCAUGUGUCAUCUGACUGAAAGGGAACGGAGUCAGUUUCUACAGGCGCAAAAUCGUGCAAAUGGAAAACCUCGGGAAGAGAUGCAGACUUGUAAUGAUAUAGCUGACCAGGUGGCUGAAAAAGAAACUAUAUGUCUGCCUCAUACACCAUCCUCACCUCAACACAACCCGGUGACCACUAGUGUGAAAGAGCAGGGCGAUGCAGAGAUAAAACUUCAGUCCAUUGACAGUGGAGAGGACAGUGCAGAAAGUAAUGUGACCAAUACUGUGUCUGAUCCACACAGCUCACAAGUGAAUAUCUGUGAGGCUAAAACUCUCAGAGCACUUGAUCCUGAACAAACCCCAGAGCUCCAGCCACAUGGAGAGGUGAAGGAAAAACAGAAUAAUCAGGAGCAACAGGAAGCUGUUGGAGUCAGUGAAAUACCUGAAAAUAAAACAAAAAACAUGGAGGAUGUGCCUGCAGAAGUGGAUCACGACCCUGACAUUACUUUUCAUACAAGCACUAAUUGGACUGAGGAAACUAUGAAGGAGAACCAGGAUGUUAUCAAGACUCCCACUGAGCAGGUCAGGGUACAUUUUGAUGAGAUUAAAGAAGAUGUGACAGGUAAUGAUGAAGACAAUGGAACUAAAGUGGAGUCUUCAGCAACAGAAAUGUCAGCAGAGGUCAUCAGUGAUGGCUCUUUGGGGGAUCUAUAAAGCUUCAGUGACACCCAUAGGCUCAGAGAGGACAGGCAGUUGUGGUCCUGAUGAUGAUCCUGGUUUUGGUCAAUUUCCUUUGGACACUGAUCCGCCUCAGACCAGGGAGACUGAGGACCUGUUUGGAUCUGGAGGCUUGGACUACGUAUCGGACUCUCAGCUGAACACAAUUGUCCUGACAGAAGAGGAGACAGUGUACAGAAAGGGAGACGUUGGUUCCUCAGAUGUUUAUGAAGAUGGUACAAACUUGGUCUGUGGACUCAUCAGAGAACUAUCCUCCUUAAACCGGAUUCUGAUGGCCACCCACCGAGAGCUGGAGAACCUGCGCUACAAGAGUAAAAACUCAAGGAGCUCCUUAUGUUGAAGUUUACUUUUAGUUCUGCAGUUUUCUUAUUGUCACCUCAGUGGUUUGUGGGAAGUGAAUUCACUCUGUCAGUGAACGAAUGUCCGUGUUUUUACUCCAAGUACAUAUUUCCUAAGAAAAAAGUUUAAUAUCUUUACAUUCACAAACUGUUAAAGUUUAUGGUUUAGUUAUGUAAUAGUUACACUCGUUCUGCAUUA